rnacentral:rRNA from 1 species
AACGAACGCUGGAGGCAUGCCUUAUACAUGCAAGUCGAACGCGAAAGUACCUUCGGGUAUCAGUAGAGUGGCAAACGGGUGAGUAACGCGUGGGAAUAUACCUUAUAGUACGGAAUAGCCUCGGGAAACUGGGAUUAAUACCGUAUACGCCCUUAGGGGGAAAGAUUUAUCGCUAUAAGAUUAGCCCGCGUCAGAUUAGCUAGUUGGUGGGGUAACGGCCUACCAAGGCAACGAUCUGUAGCUGGUCUGAGAGGAUGACCAGCCACAUUGGGACUGAGAUACGGACCAAACUCCUACGGGAGGCAGCAGUAGGGAAUAUUGGACAAUGGGGGAAACCCUGAUCCAGCAAUGCCUCGUGAGUGAUGAAGGCCUUAGGGUUGUAAAGCUCUUUUAGUAGGGAAGAUAAUGACGGUACCCACAGAAAAAGCACCGGCUAACUCCGUGCCAGCAGCCGCAGUAA